GAUGAACGCUGGCGGCGUGCCUAAUACAUGCGAGUCGAGCGAACGGACGAGAAGCUUGCUUCUCUGAUGUUAGCGGCGGACGGGUGAGUAACACGUGGAUAACCUACCUAUAAGACUGGGAUAACUUCGGGAAACCGGAGCUAAUACCGGAUAAUAUUUUGAACCGCAUGGUUCAAAAGUGAAAGACGGUCUUGCUGUCACUUAUAGAUGGAUCCGCGCUGCAUUAGCUAGUUGGUAAGGUAACGGCUUACCAAGGCAACGAUGCAUAGCCGACCUGAGAGGGUGAUCGGCCACACUGGAACUGAGACACGGUCCAGACUCCUACGGGAGGCAGCAGUAGGGAAUCUUCCGGAAUGGGCGAAAGCCUGACGGAGCAACGCCGCGUGAGUGAUGAAGGUCUUCGGAUCGUAAAACUCUGUUAUUAGGGAAGAACAUAUGUGUAAGUAACUGUGCACAUCUUGACGGUACCUAAUCAGAAAGCCACGGCUAACUACGUG
rnacentral:rRNA from 1 species